rnacentral:tRNA from 1 species
GGGCGAUUAGCUCAGGGGUAGAGCGCUUCGUUCACACCGAAGAGGUCACUGGUUCGAUCCCAGUAUCGCCCACCG